UCUGGGGCGAAAAUUUAUUGUUGAAGUUUGUAAGGAGCGUCCUGUGUUUUCCCUUUAAGACACUGCUCAUAAUGACAAAUGCGUCUAGCAAUAAUGAGAUGAGCAUAACAGUUGUGAUGCCUUAGAUGUCCUGGGCUGCACGCGCGUACAAUGAAAGUAUCAACGUGUAUUCCUAGACCGAGAGGUCCGGGUAAACCGCUGAACCACUUUCAUGCUUGGGAUUGUGAACUGAAACUGUUCACAUGAACUUGGAAUUCCCAGUAAGUGUGAGUCAUUAACUCGCAUUGAUUACGUCCCUGCCCUUUGUACACACCGCCCGUCGCUACUACCGAUUGAAUUAUUUAGUGAGGUCUCCGGACGUGAUCACUGUGACGCCUUGCGUGUUACGGUUGUUUCGCAAAAGUUGACCGAACUUGAUUAUUUAGAGGAAGUAAAAGUCGUAACAAGGUUUCCGUAGGUGAACCUGCGGAAGGAUCAUUA
rnacentral:ncRNA from 1 species